rnacentral:rRNA from 1 species
AUUGAACGCUGGCGGCAGGCCUAACACAUGCAAGUCGAGCGGUUGAAGGGAGCUUGCUCCUGGAUUCAGCAGCGGACGGGGGAGUAAUGCCUAGGAAGCUGGUAGGUAGUGGGGGAUAACGUUCGGAAAAAGGCGCUAAUACCGCAUACGUCCUGAGGGAGAAAGUGGGAGAUCUUCGGACCUUACGCUAUCAGACGAGCCUAGGUCGGAUGAGCAAGUUGGGGGGGUAAAGGCAUACCAAGGCGACGAUCCGUAACUGGUCUGAGAGGAUGAUCAGUCACACUGGAACUGAGACACGGUCCAGACUCCGACGGGAGGCAGCAGUGGGGAAUAUUGGACAAUGGGCGAAAGCCUGAUCCAGCCAUGUCGCGUGUGUGAAGAAGGUCUUCGGAUUGUAAAGCACUUUAGGUUGGGAUGAAGGGCAGUAAGUUAAUACCUUGCUGUUUUGACGUUACCAACAGAAUAAGCACCGGCUAACUUCGUG